ensembl:lncRNA
GUCAGUUUGCACAUUUGUUAGAAACCUGGGGACAUUUUUAGCACUCCUCUUUAUUUAUCAAAUGAUAAAACACUAGGAGGAAGAGACAUUGGGAUGAAGGCACACUAUUUCUGAGUGAGAUCUAAUUGGCCCAUAUAAAAAGGUACCCGAUUGAUGGGCUUCUUUCCAACAUGAAAUACACAGAUAAAACAUAUUUAAAAGAUUCAAAUGAAUCAGAACCAAUUCAAAAAUCCUAGGACCACACUUGGCGACCAAAAAAAGCCAGCCUACAGGUAGCUUUUAACUUGACAUCAAGGCAUUUCCACUCCUGGAAUGUCCUUUGGGGUACCUAUGGCAACUCAGUGUCUUGAGAGAUCAUGGGUGCGACAUUCCAAUUUCUUUCCCCUUAGGAGGCAGCUGGGACAACUCCUUUCACCCUUGCAGGCCUUGCUCUCUCAAUUUGAAGGUGAAGUUUGCAUAUCUUCUAUUUCCCAGCAAGUGUCUUUAAGAAGAGAAGUUAAUUUGGGGGUUGCAGGGAUGUCUACUCAGCAUCUGCACCCCCUUUCCUGGGUAACAGGGCACCCUCACCUUCCUUCCCCCUUCUCCCACUCAGUUGCUCUGGCUUCAGCGAGGAGGGCAGCACCCCUCCGCUCCAGAAUGAACACGUGACUCAGCCCUGGCCAAUCAGAGCAUUCUUUCUCUCAGGUCACAGCGAUUGGUUCAGGGAUGGGCGUAUGGAUCCCAUCAACGAGAUACAAAGAGGGAGCGCUUGAUAGAGAUUUCUCCAGCACAGUUUUCCUACUGGGAGAAUGUAAGCCUGGAAUUCUUCUGGACUGAGCCUGCAGAGGAGUGAAGGCCAAACAGCACAGCAGAGCAGAUUCAAGAAGGCGGGGGUGGGGAGGGGGCAUCAAGUCUUGGGGCCUCAUUUGAGCACCCCGAUCCGUAUGUGCCUGAACCAAACUUGCCAGAGGAGUUUUCAAUUUUUUAUGGCAAUAAUUUCCUUUUUUUGUUUAACCCAGUUUGUGUGGGGUCUGUUUCACUUACAACCAGUUGGGUCCUGAUUAAUAUACUGGUUUAAGUUUAAUAAUAGUGACACUUACUGAGUGCUUCUCAAGUAACAGACCUGGAGUAAAUCCUUUAUAUGCAUUCUCUUAAUUCUUACAAUAGUUCUUUUUAAGAAAAGAAACAGCUCAGAAAGGUGGAGUAACUUGCAUAAGAUCCCCAGCAAGUAGCAAAAGAUCAAGAUUCGAACCCAGUUCUGUGUAAAACCCUCUAUUCUUAACCAGCAUACUGCCAACUGAGCAGUGAGACGGUGAAAGUUAGGCCUGACAGCUGGAGGGUUGUUCAUCUUGAGAAUUCAUUUUUAACUGUAACUUACAAACGGCUGUACGGGGGAUAACAAACGAGAAGUUGCUAAACAAGGCCAAUUUCAAGGGUUAAACUCUCCUCUCCGUCAGUUUGUCAGUUUCCUUGUCAGUACCGCCCUGUUAUUUUGUUUUGCUUUCUGAGGGCCAGACAAUGUUUAACAGAAAAAUCCCAACCGUCUUCAUUUGACAGUUGAAGAAUCUGGGGAACUCGAAUUGACCUGAUGCCUUCAACUGCUCUGAGGCUCACUUGGGCUACAAAGAAGCAGAGCUGGAGAUAGAGCCUGAAUCCUUUAAGAAUCAGCGAGGGGCUACAGGCCACUUUGGUGAUAGGUUGUUAUAAACCAGGAGUGGGCAUUCUUUUUAUUAAUGAAAAUGAGGAAGUUUAUCGGUUCUGCGCUGCUCCCCCCUCGGGUAGGGUUUGCUUACACUUUAUAUAACAGAAGAGUUCUCUUUUAAACUUUGAAGAAAACAAGAAUCCUCCUUCAAAUAUCUGGCGACCUUUGGCUGGCUAUUCACAUUCAAGAAUGAGGCUCUAAAUAGCUGAAUGAAGUUUCUGUGCAUGAAGCUGGAUCUUGUUGACUGCUGGGCUUCCCAGUAGAUAAGAGUGGAACCCUUUAUUUACUGGGGAACCCCAAGGGUAAUAUUAAAAAUAUUU